UACGGAGGGGGCAAGCGUUAUUCGGAAUUAUUGGGCGUAAAGGGCGCGUAGGCGGCUAGAUGUGUCAAAGGUGAAAUCCCUCGGCUCAACUGAGGAACUGCCUUUGAAACUGUCUGGCUUGAGGCCGGGAGAGGGUAGCGGAAUUCCCAGUGUAGCGGUGAAAUGCGUAGAUAUUGGGAGGAACACCAGCGGCGAAAGCGCUCUACUGGGCCGCAACUGACACUCAUGGACGAAAGCUAGGGGAGCGAAAGGG
rnacentral:rRNA from 1 species